CCUACGGGAGGCAGCAGUGGGGAAUAUUGGGCAAUGGGCGCAAGCCUGACCCAGCAAAGCCGCGUGAAGGAAGAAGGCUUUCGGGUUGUCAACUUCUUUUCUGAGGGACGAAGAAAGUGACGGUACCUCAGGAAUAAGCCACGGCUAACUACGGGCCAGCAGCCGCGGUAAUACGUAGGUGGCAAGCGUUAUCCGGAUUUAUUGGGUAUAAAGGGCGUGUAGGCGGGAAAGGAAGUCAGAUGUGAAAACUCAGGGCUCAACCCUGAGCCUGCAUUUGAAACUGGUUUUCUUGAGUGCUGGAGAGGUAAUCGGAAUUCCGUGUGUAGCGGUGAAAUGCGUAGAUAUACGGAGGAACACCAGUGGCGAAGGCGGAUUGCUGGACAGUAACUGACGCUGAGGCGCGAAAGCGUGGGGAGCAAACAGGAUGAGAUACCCCGGUAGUC
rnacentral:rRNA from 1 species